UACGGAGGGUGCGAGCGUUAAUCGGAAUUACUGGGCGUAAAGCGCGCGUAGGCGGCUUGGCAAGUCGGGUGUGAAAUCCCCAGGCUUAACCUGGGAACUGCAUUCGAGACUGCAUUGCUAGAGUAUGGGAGAGGGAAGUGGAAUUUCCGGUGUAGCGGUGAAAUGCGUAGAUAUCGGAAGGAACAUCAGUGGCGAAGGCGACUUCCUGGACCAAUACUGACGCUCAGGUGCGAAAGCGUGGGGAGCAAACAGG
rnacentral:rRNA from 1 species